UUGAGUCUCCUGAAGGAACGUUGAAGACGACGACGUUGAUAGGCCGGGUGUGUAAGCGCAGCGAUGCGUUGAGCUAACCGGUACUAAUGAACCGUGAGGCUUAACCUUACAACGCCGAAG
rnacentral:rRNA from 1 species